UAGAGGCCAGGUCCUUAAUCCAUGAUGGUUGCAUCCUUAGGGUGACUCCUACUGGUGGGAGUGCUAGGCCUCCUGCCUCUGUUGGGCCCCUCACCAUGGGUUAUUCCAAACUCGCUCAGAGAGCCCCUUACCACUGCUGUCGAGGCCAAGGCCGGUAAACCUGCAUGAUAUUUGGGUUAUAGCACUUUUUUUCCUGCCUGUCCUCCCAACCAGAAGCUUCCCAGGGGCCGUCUCAGCCUCA